GAUGAAGAACGCAGCGAAAUGCGAUAAGUAAUGUGAAUUGCAGAAUUCCGUGAAUCAUCGAAUCUUUGAACGCACAUUGCGCCCCCUGGUAUUCCGGGGGGCAUGCCUGUCCGAGCGUCAUUGCAACCUUCAAGCGCGGCUUGUGUGUUGGGUCUCGUCCCCCGUGGACGGGCCCGAAAGGCAGUGGCGGCGUCCCGACAUGGUGCCCGAGCGUAUGGGAAUCCUCUUCCGCUCGAAUCGGCCCAUGCGGCGCUGGUCGUAACCAAAUUUUUUACCGGUUGACCUCGGAUCAGGUAGGGAUACCCGCUGAACUUAAGCAUAUCAAUAAGCGGAGGA
rnacentral:misc_RNA from 1 species